GAUGAACGCUGGCGGCGUGCCUAAUACAUGCAAGUCGAGCGAACAGACGAGGAGCUUGCUCCUUUGACGUUGUCGGCGGACGGGUGAGUAACACGUGGUUAACCUACCUCUCAGACUGGGAUACCUUUGGGAAACCGUAGCUAAUACCGGAUAACAUGUUGCACUGCAUUGUUCAACAGUGAAAGACGCUCUUUCUUUCACUUAUAGACUGCCCCGCGCCGCAUGAGCUAGUUGGCUAGGUAACGGCUUACCCAGGCAACGACGCGUAACCGACCUGAGGGGGUCAUCGGCCACACGGGAACUGAGACACGGCCCAGACUCCUGCGGGGGGAAGCAGUAGGGAAUCUUCCGCGAUGGGGGAAAGGCUGACGGAGCAACGCCGCGGGAGGGAAGAAGGUCUUCGGAUCGGAAAGCGCUGUAAGUAGGAGGGAACAAAUGUGUAAGUAACUGGGCAGGUCUUGACGGUACCGGGACAGAAAGCCACGGCUAACUACGUG
rnacentral:rRNA from 1 species